AGAGUUUGAUCCUGGCUCAGGAUGAACGCUGGCGGCGUGCUUAACACAUGCAAGUCGAGCGAAGCACUUAUCAUUGACUCUUCGGAAGAUUUGAUAUUUGACUGAGCGGCGGACGGGUGAGUAACGCGUGGGUAACCUGCCUCAUACAGGGGAAUAACAGUUAGAAAUGGCUGCUAAUGCCGCAUAAGCGCACAGGACCGCAUGGUCUGGUGUGAAAAACUGAGGUGGUAUGAGAUGGACCCGCGUCUGAUUAGGUAGUUGGUGGGGUAACGGCCUACCAAGCCGACGAUCAGUAGCCGGCCUGAGAGGGUGAACGGCCACAUUGGGACUGAGACACGGCCCAGACUCCUACGGGAGGCAGCAGUGGGGAAUUA
rnacentral:rRNA from 1 species